GACGAACGCUGGCGGCGUGCUUAACACAUGCAAGUCGAACGGAAAGGCCCUGCUUGCAGGGUACUCGAGUGGCGAACGGGUGAGUAACACGUGGGUGAUCUGCCCUGCACUUCGGGAUAAGCCUGGGAAACUGGGUCUAAUACCGGAUAGGAGCCAUUUUUAGUGUGAUGGUUGGAAAGUUUUUUCGGUGUAGGAUGAGCUCGCGGCCUAUCAGCUUGUUGGUGGGGUAAUGGCCUACCAAGGCGGCGACGGGUAGCCGGCCUGAGAGGGUGGACGGCCACAUUGGGACUGAGAUACGGCCCAGACUCCUACGGGAGGCAGCAGUGGGGAAUAUUGCACAAGGGGCGCAAGCCUGAUGCAGCGACGCCGCGUGGGGGAUGACGGCCUUCGGGUUGGAAACUCCUUUCGCUAGGGACGAAGCUUUUUGUGACGGUACCUAGAGAAGAAGCACCGGCUAACUACGUG
rnacentral:rRNA from 1 species